UACGUAGGAUGCAAGCGUUGUCCGGAUUUACUGGGCGUAAAGCGCGCGCAGGCGGCAGUGUAAGUAAGGUGUGAAAUCUCCCUGCUCAACGGGGAGGGUGCACUUUAGACUACACAGCUUGAGGUCGGUAGAGGGGGGUGGAAUUGCUGGUGUAGCGGUGAAAUGCGUAGAGAUCAGCAGGAACACCCGUGGCGAAGGCGGCCCCCUGGGCCGUACCUGACGCUGAGGCGCGAAGGCUAGGGGAGCGAACGGG
rnacentral:rRNA from 1 species